CCUACGGGUGGCAGCAGUGAGGAAUAUUGGUCAAUGGACGAGAGUCUGAACCAGCCAAGUAGCGUGAAGGAUGACUGCCCUAUGGGUUGUAAACUUCUUUUAUAUGGGAAUAAAAUGUUCCACGUGUGGGCUUUUGUAUGUACCAUAUGAAUAAGGAUCGGCUAACUCCGUGCCAGCAGCCGCGGUAAUACGGAGGAUCCGAGCGUUAUCCGGAUUUAUUGGGUUUAAAGGGAGCGUAGGUGGAUGGUUAAGUCAGUUGUGAAAGUUUGCGGCUCAACCGUAAAAUUGCAGUUGAAACUGGCAGUCAUGAGUACAGUAGAGGUGGGCGGAAUUCGUGGUGUAGCGGUGAAAUGCUUAGAUAUCACGAAGAACUCCGAUUGCGAAGGCAGCUCACUGGACUGCAACUGACACUGAGGCUCGAAAGUGUGGGUAUCAAACAGGAUUAGAUACCCUUGUAGUC
rnacentral:rRNA from 1 species